rnacentral:rRNA from 1 species
UACGGAGGGUGCGAACGUUAAUCGGAAUCACUGGGCGUAAAGCGCGCGUAGGCGGUUUGUUAAGUGGGUUGUGAAAUCCCCGGGCUUAACCUGGGAAUUGCAUUUCAAACUGGCCGACUAGAGUACGGUAGAGGGAGGUAGAAUUUCCUGUGUAGCGGUGAAAUGCGUAGAUAUAGGAAGGAAUACCAGUGGCGAAGGCGGCCUCCUGGAGCGAUACUGACGCUGAGGCGCGAAAGCGUGGGGAGCAAACAGG